rnacentral:rRNA from 1 species
UACGUAGGUGGCAAGCGUUGUCCGGAAUUAUUGGGCGUAAAGCGCGCGUAGGCGGUCCUUUAAGUCUGAUGUGAAAGCCCACGGCUCAACCGUGGAGGGUCAUUGGAAACUGGGGGACUUGAGUACAGAAGAGGAGAGCGGAAUUCCACGUGUAGCGGUGAAAUGCGCAGAUAUCGGGAGGAACACCGGUGGCGAAGGCGGUUCUCUGGGCCUGACCUGACGCUGAGGAGCGAAAGCGUGGGGAGCGAACAGG